rnacentral:rRNA from 1 species
UUAUUUGAGAGUUUGAUCCUGGCUCAGGAUGAACGCUGGCGGCGUGCCUAACACAUGCAAGUUGAGCGAUUUACUUCGGUAAAGAGCGGCGGACGGGUGAGUAACGCGUGGGUAACCUACCCUGUACACACGGAUAACAUACCGAAAGGUAUGCUAAUACGGGAUAAUAUAUUUGAGAGGCAUCUCUUAAAUAUCAAAGGUGAGCCAGUACAGGAUGGACCCGCGUCUGAUUAGCUAGUUGGUAAGGUAA